GUUGAAACAGGUAUAAUCCAAGACAGCCGUGCAAGAAGCAGGUGUCGCCCAAAGAAGAAGGUACACGGGUACAAAAAACAUUUUGGCAAUAAGGAAUUCACUCAAAAGGUAAGUUCCCGCAAAACUCCCUUUUAUCUUCUAUUAAAACAAGAAAACUCAAAAAAAAUAGAUCAUGUAGUAUUCUCGAACUUUAUCCCCAGCCAGUCAGCAUUAGGGUUUUAAAACCCUAAACUGAAUUUUCUUUUAGUCAGCGUUAGGGUUUUAAACCCUAAACUGAACUUUUCCCUUUCAGCCAGCAUUAGAGUUUUAAACUCUAAACUGAGCUUUUUCAUGCAAUCAGCAUUAGGGUUUUAAACCCUAAACUGAACUUUCCUUUAGUCAGCAUUAGGGUUUUAAACCCUAAACUGAACUUUUUCCUUUCAGCCAGCAUUAGAGUUUUAAACUCUAAACCGAGCUUUUUCAUGCAAUCAGCAUUAAGGUUUUAAACCCUAAACUGAAUUUUCCUUUCAGCCAGCAUUAGAGUUUUAAACCCUAAACUGAGCUUUUUCAUGCAAUCAGCAUUAGGGUUUUAAACCCUAAACUGAAUUUUCCUUUCAGCCAGCAUUAGGGUUUUAAACCCUAAACUGAGCUUUUUCAUGCAAUCAACAUUAGGGUUUUAAACCCUAA
rnacentral:lncRNA from 1 species